UACGGAGGGUGCGAGCGUUAAUCGGAAUUACUGGGCGUAAAGGGUGCGUAGGUGGUUUGGCAAGUUAUCUGUGAAAUUCCUGGGCUUAACCUGGGCCGGUCAGAUAAAACUGCCAUGACUUGAGUAUAGGAGAGGGUAGUGGAAUUUCCGGUGUAGCGGUGAAAUGCGUAGAGAUCGGAAGGAACACCGGUGGCGAAGGCGGCUACCUGGCCUAAUACUGACACUGAGGCACGAAAGCGUGGGGAGCAAACAGG
rnacentral:rRNA from 1 species